rnacentral:rRNA from 1 species
GCUUGUCUCAAAGAUUAAGCCAUGCAUGUCUUAGUGUAAAUAACUCUUAUGAAACUGCGAAUGGCUCAUUAAAUCAGUUAUCAAAUACGUGAUGGUCGCCUACUACAUGGAUAACCGUAGUAAUUCUAGAGCUAAUACAUGCACAAAGGCCCACUCACGUGGGUUGUGAUUAUUAGAUUCAAACCGGCCUCGUUCUGGUGAUUCAUAAUAACUGGUCGGAUCGCAUGGCCUCGUGCCGGCGACAUAUCAUACGGAUCUCUGCCCUAUCAGCUUUCGACGGUAGUGUAGUGGACUACCGUGGCGUUAACGGGUGACGGAGAAUUAGGGUUCGAUUCCGGAGAGGGAGCCUGAGACACGGCUACCACAUCCAAGGAAGGCAGCAGG